GACGAACGCUGGCGGCGUGCUUAACACAUGCAAGUCGAACGGAAAGGCCCUGCUUUUGUGGGGUGCUCGAGUGGCGAACGGGUGAGUAACACGUGAGUAACCUGCCCUUGACUUUGGGAUAACUUCAGGAAACUGGGGCUAAUACCGGAUAGGAGCUCCUGCUGCAUGGUGGGGGUUGGAAAGUUUCGGCGGUUGGGGAUGGACUCGCGGCUUAUCAGCUUGUUGGUGGGGUAGUGGCUUACCAAGGCUUUGACGGGUAGCCGGCCUGAGAGGGUGACCGGCCACAUUGGGACUGAGAUACGGCCCAGACUCCUACGGGAGGCAGCAGUGGGGAAUAUUGCACAAUGGGCGGAAGCCUGAGGCAGCAACGCCGCGUGCGGGAUGAAGGCCUUCGGGUUGUAAACCGCUUUCGCCUGUGACGAAGCGUGAGUGACGGUAACGGGUAAAGAAGCACCGGCUAACUACGUG
rnacentral:rRNA from 1 species